rnacentral:rRNA from 1 species
AUUGAACGCUGGCGGCAUGCCUAACACAUGCAAGUCGAACGGCAGCACGGGUGUUUCCCCUUGGUGGCGAGUGGCGAACGGGUGAGAAAUACAUCAGAACACGUCCUGGUGUGGGGGAUAGUCCGGCGAAAGCCGGUUUAACACCGCACACGCUGUACGGAUGAAAGCGGGGUACUCUGGCGCCUCGCUCUAUGAGGAUCCUAGGUCGGAUUAGCUAGUUGGUGGGGUAAAGGCCUACCAAGGCGACGAUCAGUAACUGGUCUGAGAGGAUGACCAGCCACACUGGAACUGAGACACGGCCCAGACUCCUACGGGAGGCAGCAGUGGGGAAUUUUGGACAAUGGGCGAAAGCCUGAUCCAGCAAUGCCGCGUGUGUGAAGAAGGUCUUCGGAUUGUAAAGCACUUUUGGUCGGGAAGAAGGGCUUGAAGCUAAUACCGUGGGGGGUUGACGUUACCAGAAGAAUAAGCACCGGCUAACUACGUG